GGAGUUCAACAAUGGCGCCGCCGCAGCCCAAGUCCGGCCUCUUCGUCGGCAUCAACAAGGGCCAUGUCGUCACCAAGCGCGAGCUUGCCCCUCGCCCCUCCAGCCGGAAAGGGAAAACCAGCAAGAGAGUGCACUUCGUGAAGAACUUGAUCAGGGAGGUGGCUGGAUUCGCGCCCUAUGAGAAGAGGAUCACUGAGCUGCUCAAGGUCGGGAAGGACAAGAGGGCGCUGAAGGUUGCUAAGAGGAAGUUGGGUACUCACAAGAGGGCCAAGAAGAAGAGAGAGGAGAUGGCCAAUGUUUUGAGGAAGAUGAGAUCUGCUGGAGUUUCUGAGAAGAAGAAAUGAUGAAGUUGCCUAUCUUUAGUGAAGAGCAUUCUGGUUUGAGAUUUUUGUUAUAAAAGACUUUCGGUUAUUUUUCGUAUUUUACCGCUUUGAAGACUGUUGUAGUAUCCAACAUGAAUUCUGUGUUUUCUUGAUUUGUUAGGAAUGGUUUUUAUGGUUG
rnacentral:misc_RNA from 1 species